rnacentral:piRNA from 1 species
UACAGUGUUCCUGAUGGGUGAUCUUUGGUA